rnacentral:rRNA from 1 species
GUCUAUGGCCAUACCACCCUGAAUGCGCCCAAUCUCGUCUGAACUCGGAAGCUAAGCAGGGUCGGGGCUGGUUAGUACUUGGAUGGGAGAAAGUGAUCCUUGAAAGAAAAAGAGAUUGAUUCU